CCUACGGGAGGCAGCAGUGGGGAAUAUUGCACAAUGGGGGAAACCCUGAUGCAGCGACGCCGCGUGAAGGAAGAAGUAUUUCGGUAUGUAAACUUCUAUCAGCAGGGAAGAAAAUGACGGUACUUGACUAAGAAGCCCCGGCUAACUACGUGCCAGCAGCCGCGGUAAUACGUAGGGGGCAAGCGUUAUCCGGAUUUAUUGGGUGUAAGGGGAGCGUAGGCGGUUUAGCAAGUCAGAAGUGAAAGCCCGGGGCUCAACUCCGGGACUGCUUUUGAAACUGUUGAACUAGAUUGCAGGAGAGGUAAGUGGAAUUCCUAGUGUAGCGGUGAAAUGCGUAGAUAUUAGGAGGAACACCAGUGGCGAAGGCGGCUUACUGGACUGUAAAUGACGCUGAGGCUCGAAAGCGUGGGGAGCGAACAGGAUUAGAUACCCUAGUAGUC
rnacentral:rRNA from 1 species